rnacentral:rRNA from 1 species
UACAGAGGUCUCAAGCGCUGUUCGGAUUCAUUGGGCGUAAAGGGUGCGUAGGUGGCGCUGUAAGUCGGGUGUGAAAUUUCGGAGCUUAACUCCGAAACUGCAUUCGAUACUGGCGUGCUUGAGGACUGGAGAGGAGACUGGAAUUCAUGGUGUAGCAGUGAAAUGCGUAGAGAUCAUGAGGAAGACCAGUGGCGAAGGCGGGUCUCUGGACAGUUCCUGACGCUGAGGCACGAAGGUCAGGGGAGCAAACGGG